UGUUCACUCAGACACAUGGGGAUCUCAAGCUAUUGCUGACUAAUUGAUAGUUGUAGUAACUGCUAUAGGCUCCUUAGAUUAGAAAUGCAUGCAGACGUGUGUCUUGAUUCAAACAUUAAGGAACACACACUCUCACUUACUUACAUGGGCAGAAAGUCUUCAUACUAAUAGAGGUGUGGGAUGGAGAUAGCAGGACAUAAAACAGAAGAGAGAGAGAGGGAGAGAGAGAGACAGAGACAGAGAGAUGGCAUGCAGCAUAUAUACCCCUACAAAUAGUUCUAAAAUGCGUUUGCAAAUGCAGAAGUCUUCAGAACCUUCCAACAGUUCAGAACACCCUUUUUCUCUCUUCUCUGCGGGACGUCUCCUCCAGAUUACUCGAAAAAAGCGGAAAAGGUCGCAUUGUACUAUAGAGCCAGAUUGUCAACUGCGAUAAACUAGCAUAACUACACUGAAGGCAAGGAAACUUCCAGUUUACACCAGUCGAGGAUCUCGCUGAUAGUUUUACCCUCUUCAGUCACGAAAAGCUGGAUGUCAGAUUUCAACAGCAUAGAGCAAAGGAGUGGGGAAAAGAGAGGUGUGUUUUUAAGCAGGCCAAUAGAAUGAAAUACCCCUAUAGCUCACACAAGGAGGAUGUAAAAGCAGCAAAGAGUCCUGUGGCACCUUAUAGACUAACAGACGUAUUGGAGCAUGAGCUUUCGUGGAUGAAUACCCACUUCGUCAGAUGCAUGUACAGGGAGGAUGCAGCUUUUCAAAUGACAAAGAGUCUGCAUUCAUCAAAGUGCUGGCAUCAGUACCAAAGCCAUCUAGUCAUCGCAGCCUAGUGUAUUUAGACAUCUCUGCACUUUAAUUAUAAAAAUGUAACUGGUAGGUAGCCAGGUGCUGUGGGACUAUUGACCUAUGUUGAUGGGAGACACGUGUUUGGAAGAGGGGGUUAAAACUUAAGAACCACAAAUGUAAGAGACUGAAUAUCAUGGGCAGGUAAUAGGUGUGACCUUUGAGGAGGAAGUUAAGCUAAGAAUCUUACCUGCUUCACUUUUCACUGCUUUCCAAAUGGCACUUAACACUUUAAAUGCUCAAAGCGCAGCAUGGCUGUUAGGCAACUAAUUCUCACAACUGCUUUGUAAGGUAGGCAAAUGUAUUAGUCCUGUUUUUCAAAUGGAGAAAUUGAGGCAGAAAGAGGUAAGUGGAUUCCCCAGGCCACAUGGGUGAGUUAGCUUGGAUUAGAACAAAGUUGCUUCUGGCUUCUAUCCUUAUGCUCAUUUCUCCAGACCAUGCUGCUUCAGAUAGCAAAGUUCUUUCUAAUUUUAAUAACUGGUUGUACAAACUACCAUGUGUAUUUAUAACAAUUGCUUUGCCCAUUUCUGAAAUGCAGCUACCUCGGGGGGUGGGAAAUAGCUGCUGUUUAAUGGUGCGUAGCAAAACUUUGCAGUAUUUUAGAACAGGAUUGGAAGAAUAUUGCUGUCAAUAAUUCAGUUAUGUAAUUACUCAGUUGGAACUUGGCCAAGACAUCCAAAUUAACACCACAUACUCUUACAAAGAUGGUCAUAGCAUCUUUAAUGAUCACAAAGGAGAAAAGUGUUAUCUAGGAGUUAGAGGAAGGAUCUCUGAGUUAGGACUCAGAUUUAGUUCUUAAUUUUCCCAGUGUCUCAUUGCAUGACUCGGAGGAAUUCUUCUCACCUUUCUAUGCCUCAGUUUUAUCCAUAAAAUGGAGUUAGUAAUACUCGUUUACUGUGAAUGGGGCAGGUUAGGGGCUAAAUGAAUGUUUGUAAAGCCUUUUAUGACCUAGAGCAACAAGUGUAACAGUAUUAUUACAAGUGGUGUGGAUCUUGGCUUUAUUAAUGGGACGCCUUCUCUGUAAGUGGUGCUCACGCAAAGAAGGCUGGGACCAAAUGGAGGAACCGAAUGUAGAUAGAGUUCAUUGUUAUCUGUGGGGGAAAUUAUCCAAGGCACGCAUCGCAGUUGUGUCCACACACAUUGUCAAGGUUCCUUUCCCGCUCUGAACUUUAGGGUACAAAUGUGGGGACCUGCAUGGACACUUCUAAGCUUAAUUACUAGCUUAGAUCUGGUAACUCUGCCACCAUCCAGAAAUUUCAGUGUCUGGAUCACUUCUUGUCCCCCCACAAAACCUUCCCCUCCCUGGGCAGCCUUGAGAGGCUUUUUCACCAAGUUCCUGGUGAACCUCGAUCCAACCCCUUGGAUUUUAACAUAAGGAGAAUUUAACCAUUCCCCGCCUCCUUUCCCCCACCAAUUCCUGGUGAGUCCGGAUCCAAUCCCCUUGGAUCUUAAAACAAGGAAAAUCAAUCAGGUUCUUAAAAAGAAAGCUUUUAAUUAAAGAAAGAAAGGUAAAAAAUCAUCUCUGUAAAAUCAGGUUGGAAAAAUACUUUACAGGGUACUCAGAUUCAUAUAGCCCAGAGGAACCCCCUCUAGCCUUAGGUUCAAAGUUAGAGCAAACAGAGGUAAAAUCCUCUCAGCAAAAAGGAACAUUUACAAGUUGAGAAAACAAAAAUAAGACUAACACGCCUUGCCUGGCUAUUACUUACAAGUUUGAAACAUGAGAGACUGAUUCAGAAAGAUUUGGAGAGCCUGGAUUGACGUCUGGUCCCUCUCAGUCCCAAGAGUGAACAACCCCCAAAACAAAGAGCACAAACAAAGACUUCCCUCCACCAAGAUUUGAAAGUAUCUUGUUCCCCCAUUGGUCCUCUGGUCAGGUAUCAGCCAGGUUUACUGAGCUUCUUAACCCUUUACAGGUAAAAGAGACAUUAACCCUUAACUAUCUAUUUAUGACACACAUAAAAUGACAUAUUUUUGCUCCAGAGAAUGUACAGUCUAAGAUAGAUAAAUAUACAGCAGAUUGACAUGUUUGCUGGACAGGUACAUAAUUGUAUUGGGGAGUUUUUCUAAGUUCUAAGGUGCUGUUUUCUCUUCUGUUUAUGGGACCUUUCAUUGUGUAACUCCUUAACUUUUAAGAGGAGCUACCAUUUUAAGAAGAUUUUGAAGGUUUUUACCCACACGAAUAUGCUCCAUAGAGCCUCUGAGUUUCCAAAUUAUUGAUUAAGGCGGGAGUUGGUUGUUUUGUAUCAGGACGGGUGAAGUGGUUGGAACAAAAUAGGAACCAGACCAAACCUCCUUCUAAAAUUUAAACCAAACUUGUUUGUGAGGCAUUUGUUUUCAUAAUGGGGUGUCUGAAUUUUUUUUCAUUGACCAAGAAUACCAACAGAAAAGCCUUUGCACAUGGUACUUCAGGUGUCACAGGAAGCAGGUUGUAUUGUGAUAUACGGAAUCAUGGAAAACAAAGAUGGAUACAGAUUAUCGCACAGCUUGAAUUCUAACUUUGCCUCCUUUGUUUAUCACAGACCACACCCUGCAUGAGACUCUGUACAGCCCAUAGAGACAUCUACUGGCUGAAUAAUACCCUGCAAGUAAACAGAUAGAAGAAGAAGCUGAAGUUGAAAAGAGCUGCUUCUCCUGGUGUUUCCAGUCUGAAAGGAGGGGAUAUUUUGUUUCCUUCUCUAUAUUUUCUGCCAUGUCAUGCCCCGAUCCAGGUUUUCCUCUGCAUGCAUUCUGAGCCAUCUUCCCUCUGAAUCCUGACCUGCAGAAGAGUGAGGAGAAAACAGUUUUUCAUGCUGAUCUAUUUUUGUUGAUGUAGAUCACUGCUGUUCAGAGUUGGCUGAGAAAAGGGGCAGGCUCAAGACCACUUCCUUUGCUUGAGGAACGCAGCUACCGCACUAGCACAGGACUGGCCUGGGGAACACAGCAGAAAACAAUUUUCAGGAUCUCCCUUGGCAACUGGGUUGACUGGACUUCCACCAGGUGAGAAGAAUCAUAGAGACAAAGUUAGAUUCAGAGGCAUACUGCUUCUGAGACAAGAACCCUGCCAUAUAAAUGAAUUCAAUUUCCAGUGACCAACGGGAAGCUCCAGAGUACCACAGAAGUAGCUGUUCUAGGAGAGGAGAUGCCAAAAAUCUGAUGAGAGACCUUGUUCUUUUAGUCCUACAUUCUGGCCUCGCAAUUUGGGCAUCAAGGAGUUUACAAUCCAAGCCACAGCAGGUGGAAGGGAGGACAAGGAGACAAUGAAACAGUUAAGAUCACCACAGCAAGCAGCAGUCACAGCAUACCAGCUGCCUAACCUGUCAAGAGUGUUGUAGGCAUCACAACAGAUGGGGAGGAUCUAAGGAGAAAUUUGAAGGAGGGUGGAGUAGUAACCUUGUAUGUUCUUCUCUUAGGAUUUACUUCUGCUCCUAGGCAGCACUUGCAUUAAUGCUAGGCUGGAUUCCCCUGCCCUCAGCUCUGCUUAUCACAUGGUAUAUGUGCAAUGCUCUAUACCAGUCGUUCUUAACCUUUACUGCAGCCUGCACCCCUUUGGUUCUCAAAAUACAUUCUUGCGCCCCUUAUCAAAAAUCAUUGAAGUAGGUCAGUUCUUUAAACCUAGAUAUAUUGUUUGUUUAUA